GGAUUCCGCUGUCGAUCGCCAUUGGCGCCAAAUGGCGCUAAAUUUUUAAAUGUGGCUCCGAUUUUUUAAAAGUGGCGAAUUUCAAAAAAUCGGUAAAAUCCUAUCCGAAAAUGUACUGCGAGUCGAAAGCACGCGACCGAGCAUUAGCGGCCAGCGUCUGUCAGUUGUAAAUAUUGAUUUACGACGAUGUAAGCGACCUACAGUGCAGAGUGCAUUAGAAAUCACCGAAGCGUGCAACUAGAAUGGAUUGUGGCAAUUAUCUGGGCCUUUCUGUCCGGAAAAAGGCGUGAACAACAGUCAUUUAAUUGAACCUGGAAAUCAUCCACCACUAACAGAAAACUUGUUAACAACAGAAGCUGAUGUAUAUCAUGUCCAAAUGACCAAAUAUAACUGUUAAACAAUUUGAAGUGGAAUAACCGACAGUAUUCACGCCGCGAAAAAGUGGCGACAACUUUUUUUGGGCCAGUGGAAC